rnacentral:lncRNA from 1 species
CACAGGAAACACAUGGCGUGUCCACACUCAAGUUUGGAGAACUGGAAGAAAGCUUGAUAAAGGGCGUAUUCGUUUCCUGGAGCUGCUGUAACAAAUCACCACAAACCAUGUGUCUUAAAACAACAGCAAUUUAUUCCUCUCUGACUUCAGGAAGCCAGCAAUCCACAACCAAGGUGUCAGCAGGGUCGGUUCCUUCUGAAACCAUCCUACACCUCUCUCCUUGCACCUGGUGGCUGCCAACAACCCUUGCCCUUCCUUGGCUUGUAGCUGCAUCACUCCAACCUCUGCCUCCAUUGUCAUAUGGCCCUGUGUCUUCAGGUAGCCUCUUCUAAUGACACAGUCAUUGGAUUUAGGG